GAUAAUGGAAUAGGACCCUGUCCUCCUAUUUUCAGUUGGUUUGCCGCGAGGACCAGGGUAAUGAUUAAUAGGGAUAGUUGGGGGCAUUAAUAUUUAAUUGUCAGAGGUGAAAUUCUUGGAUUUAUGAAAGAUUAACUUCUGCGAAAGCAUCUGCCAAGGAUGUUUUCAUUAAUCAAGAACGAAAGUUAGGGGAUCGAAGACGAUCAGAUACCGUCGUAGUCUUAACCAUAAACGAUGCCGACCAGCGAUUAGGAGACGUUGAAUACAAAACACCACCAUGCGCAUUGCGGUCGUCUUUGGUGUCGCUCACAAGGCGGCACCGGGGCGGCUUAGCUCGCAUGGCACCGGUGAAUGACUCCCUAGCAG
rnacentral:rRNA from 1 species